CCUACGGGCGGCAGCAGUGGGGAAUAUUGCACAAUGGGGGAAACCCUGAUGCAGCAACGCCGCGUGGGUGAAGGAGCGUUUCGGCGCGUAAAGCCCUGUCAGCGGGGAAGAAGAAAGACGGUAGCCGACCAAGAAGCCUCGGCUAACUACGUGCCAGCAGCCGCGGGAAUACGUAGGGGGCGAGCGUUAGCCGGAAUUACUGGGUGGAAAGGGAGCGUAGACGGGGAGGUAAGCCUGAAGGGGAAGCCCGCGGCCCAAACGCGGGACUGCUUUGGAAACUGUUUUGCUGGAGUAUGGGAGGGGUAAGCGGAAUUCCUGGUGUAGCGGUGAAAUGCGUAGAUAUCAGGAGGAACACCGGUGGCGAAAGCGGCUUACUGGACCAUAACUGACGUUGAGGCUCGAAAGCGUGGGGAGCGAACAGGAUUAGAUACCCCGGUAGUC
rnacentral:rRNA from 1 species